rnacentral:rRNA from 1 species
CCUACGGGCGGCAGCAGUGAGGAAUAUUGGUCAAUGGUCGGGAGACUGAACUAGCCACGCCGCGUGAGGGAUGAAGGUACAGAGUAUCGUAAACCUCUUUUGUCAGGGAACAAAGGCGGGGACGUGUCCCCGGAUGAGUGUACCUGAAGAAAAAGCAUCGGCUAACUCCGUGCCAGCAGCCGCGGUAAUACGAAGGAUGCGAGCGUUAUCCGGAUUUAUUGGGUUUAAAGGGUGGGGAGGCGGGCUGUUAAGUCAGCGGGAAAAGCCCGGGGAUCAACCCCGGCCCGCCGUUGAAACUGGCAGUCUCGAGUUGGAGAGAGGUAUGCGGAAUGCGCGGUGUAGCGGUGAAAUGCAUAGAUAUCGCGCAGAACUCCGAUUGCGAAGGCAGCAUGCCGGCUCCACACUGACGCUGAGGCACGAAAGCGUGGGUAUCGAACAGGAUUAGAUACCCCAGUAGUC